rnacentral:rRNA from 1 species
UACGUAGGGUCCGAGCGUUGUCCGGAAUUAUUGGGCGUAAAGGGCGCGUAGGCGGCCUGCUAAGUCGAACGUGAAAUCCCCGGGCUCAACCCGGGAACUGCGUCCGAUACUGGUUGGCUUGAAUCCGGGAGAGGGAUGCGGAAUUCCAGGUGUAGCGGUGAAAUGCGUAGAUAUCUGGAGGAACACCGGUGGCGAAGGCGGCAUCCUGGACCGGCAUUGACGCUGAGGCGCGAAAGCCAGGGGAGCAAACGGG